AAUGGCCCUGUGGGAGAGCGCGAACACAUGACUGUUCGCCGCCGAAGGCGCAACACGCCCGGAAUCGCUCAGGCAAAAGGACCGCAGCCGGACC
rnacentral:ncRNA from 2 species